GGUUUGAAACCCUAGAAGUGGUAGAUUAGAUCUAUCACUAAUUACUAUUCUUGUUCAAACGCUUGUAAUUUUAGAUUCAAAAUUUUAUGCAUAUAAAUUCAUGUUAUAAAUCUAUUUAUAGAAAUUUUAAAAUUAGAUCUUAUGUAUAUAUUUAUAUAUUAAAUAUUUUAAUCUAAUAUUAUUCAUUAAAAAUUUUUGAAAUGCAUGCAUGAAAUCCCUGUA
rnacentral:lncRNA from 1 species